GGCUUUGAACUUGUGAUCCACCUGCCCCAGCCUCUUGAAUAGUUGGGAUAGUGGAUAUAUACCAGCGUAUCUGGUUAUUACUCAUUUUGAUGCUCAGACUUUCCUAACAUGGCUAAUGAAAGCUGGUCCCCCAGGUUCUUUUCAUGUGCCCCACUAACUUUUUGAGCACUACUUAUUUUUUGACAGAGACUAAUGUUCUAGGCUUAUCUUGUAUUUUCCUUGCCCAGCCCUCGAUUCUUUUCAUAGGUGUAUCAUUUAGAGGCUAAAAUUGGUACUAGAUGAAGCUAUUCACAUUGACACUGGACAGUCAUUUCUUCUAGAUAUUUUCAGCAUCCAACUAGGAAAUAUUUAUACAAGUAAGUAUGUGUGUUUAAUGUGGGAUACACAUACAUGUAAAUAAUAUUAUGUUUUUCCAUCAUGAGUUCAAACUUACAGUCCAAUGCCAUGGGUUUUUCUUUGCCUGCCCCCCCUCCAUGUUUAGGUCUCUUCCCAUAGUUGUGAACUGGGCUUCCAUUGCCUUAUAUGUAUUUUACUCAUUUGUUCAAAUGUUGCAGUGCAUAAAAGUUUUGAAAUCACUGUAGCUGUGUCAACAGUUAGCCUUCUAAGUAAAGCUCUGAACUUUUUCCUAGUUCUUUUUGUCUUUAAACAGAAAGCACAUGGUUAAGUCACUUGGAUUAGUAACUGAGUGCUAAUAUUUAUUAGUAAGAGUCCUUUGUGAAGCUUAGAGAUUACUUCAAAAAAUUUCCCAUUCUUUGUUGACUUUAUUUUACUGUGCACGCAGUGGAUCAACAGUUACACCAAUGCCGGAGAUUUAACGUUGUCUGAGAGUAAUGGUCAGCUGUGGAGCGCUGUUCCAAGAUGCCUCGUGGGAUUUUAUGCUGUUUGAGCUCAACAAAAGGACACAGCCAGACCAUAAAGUUGGGAUAGCUUAAGAAGAAGGUCUGACAUCAAUGCUCAAUGGUUGGCAGACUUCUGCAGCAUCAACAUUCUAUAGAAUUUGUGUGGUCUUCGAAGGGCCACUGAUCAACACGGCUUCAUGAGCUUGGGCAGGUAAAGAACGCAGGCUACAGAUGUUUCCUGAGUGCCUGGUAAAGUGAUAUAUAUUUGGCCUGUAGGAGACUCCCUCGUAAGCCAUAGACAACUUGGCCUACUCAUUCUCUCUGAGGAAAUCCAAGGAAUGAAAGAAAAUUUUUGAGCUAAUCCUGAAUUUUUUCUCAAAACAAAAAUACCUAUUAUGGUAUACUUACCAUCACUUAACAAAUUAUAAUGGCAAACACUCUGAAGAACAAGCAGGCGAGGAAAUAGUGUACUUAAAGCUUUACCUGGUAGGAACAAUAGGAUGACUACCACAGGCCUGAUUUUGAAUAGUUUAUUAAAGGAAAGGUGAAGCAUCAGUUUCAAAUUGUACAAAAGGAAAAAAAAACCUCAUAUUGCAAAUGUACCAUUUACAGAAUUACUAGCAAAACCAAUCAAGGAGACACUGAAAAUACAAAAAUUUGAUUUGACUUCAAACUGAACUGGAAACCCAUUGGAGUAGAUUGCUUGGUAGUCUAUAAUUCUAAGUUGGCAUGUUUUCCACAAGAGACUUGUCAAGCAAAGAACCAGGCACGUGCCAGGCCCUUCCACUCUUGUUCCCUGGCCAGAACUACAGGCGGGCAGGGUUGGAGUGGACUGUCCAGUCAUUCCUGCCUUUUUACUUCCAGUGAAGCCCACCCCCCUUAGUUAGAGCCCAGGAACUGCUGAAUUAGCAGUUAAAACUGUUUUGGUGACCAAGAUUUUUUUUUUUUAAACUGUACCAAUCGUGAGAAAAAUCUCAGUUUUGUGUCCAUUUACUCAACGAUAAAUAAAAUCCAUUUUGCUUUUCCACACAAAAGAAUCACUGGGUACACAGAAUUUUAAAAAAAUGUCUUGUUUUUGGUAAAAAGAGAAAACCUCAUGAUUCUGUUGUAGUUACUUAAAAAACAGCUCAGAAACAGCUGUGGAUGGAUUGGUUUGGAAAUUCUGAGGCUUACAUUAAAAGUUAGGAAGAAACUACAUGGGCUUUUAAAAAUAAUAACAAGUCUUAAAAAUCCUAAGCAGAUUAUAACUCUAAACCAUUGAAGACUGUCCUGAAGAUUCAUAAUUUCUUACCCCCAAAGAAUUAUUAAUAUGCACAUUUAACACUGAAAUGUAAGCUGUAUUUCAAGGUAAGCUUAGGAAUUUCAUCCUCUAAGCACAGACUUCUAUGCAGCACAUACUUCUAUAAUUGGCAAACAUAAUUCACAAAAUUAGUGCAUAAGGAUAUUAACUGCAUGGGAAGUAGACACGGUUAUGUUACACUUAAAUUACUUUUGAACGGCAAAGGAUUUCCUCAUGAUUAUCUUUGUAAGAAAAUGGAAGUCUGUGUAACCUGAAUUUGGCAGGGCAUGAAGUAAGUGGUAAAAACAGCAAACUGAUAACUUGAGAACCAGUUUUGUUUUACUGAGAAUACUUUAUUUGCUGGUAGAAGUUGCUAAAAAUGCACAGAACAAAUACCAAUAGAAAAUGCACUGUAUUCGAAUCUCCCUAUUCUAUAUAAAAUGAAUGGUGUACAGCAUCUGUUGGAAAAAUGGCUGCAUGGACAUUUAUUUUAUGUCCACUUAUAAAUAAAAAUAAACCUUUUUAUUCAAGAGUAUAUAAAAUCUGGGAAUUCAUAUCCAUAUCCACAGAAGGUGUGUGGUUUUGGCAGAGAUGCACGAUGUCAAUUUCAUCUUAGCUUGUCGGUAUUCUGUUCUUUCUUGUUUCUGUGUUCACAAGGUCAACCAAAUCCAGUGAGCUCCAAAAACACUCUUCAGCAAUUAGGAUAAGCUGCUUACUCAUAGGUUUAAUAAAAAUGGUUAGCUUUUAAAACAUAAAAAGGCAAAAUGUUAAAACGGUUUUUAAAUUGUACAACAGGAAAAUAAAGUUAAAAAUAUUUUUUUUUUUACUCAAUGUUGAGUUUUCAUAAAACAGGUGUAUAACAGUGUUUAUCUUGACAGCUGUUUUAAAAAUUUAAAAUUUCUUCCUCCCUCCAGAAAAACACACACAUCUGUACUGAGAUAAGUCCAAUAUUAGGACACAAAUGAUUUUUUGGGUCAGUCUUUCUGAGGUGACAU